GUGUCCGUCAGAACGGAAUAAUAGGGAACCGGGUGGGAAUCCCGGACGAUCCGGUCACUGUGAACAGCGAGGAAGACGCAUGGUAUCCAUUGUGUUUCCGCAUAAAAGGAGACAUGAGAAGGAGUGCGCCGGCCGUCUGAGCUGCUAGUCAGGAAACCUGCUGGAAGUGAUU
rnacentral:ncRNA from 1 species